GACAGAGGUGCCGAGCGUUAGGCGGAAUCACUGGGCUUAAAGCGUGUGUAGGCGGACCCGUCAGUGUCUUGUGAAAUCCCACCGCUCAACGGUGGAACGGCUGGGCAUACUGCGGGUCUGAGGGACCCAGGGGCGAGCGGAACAAGCGGUGGAGCGGUGAAAUGCGUAGAUAUCGCUUGGAACGCCGACGGUGAAAACAGCUCGCUGGGGGUCACCUGACGCUGAGACACGAAAGCCAGGGGAGCGAACGGG
rnacentral:rRNA from 1 species